rnacentral:rRNA from 1 species
UACGUAGGGUGCGAGCGUUGUCCGGAAUUACUGGGCGUAAAGAGCUCGUAGGUGGUUUGUCGCGUUGUUCGUGAAAACUCACAACUCAAUUGUGGGCGUGCGGGCGAUACGGGCAGACUGGAGUACUGCAGGGGAGACUGGAAUUCCUGGUGUAGCGGUGGAAUGCGCAGAUAUCAGGAGGAACACCGGUGGCGAAGGCGGGUCUCUGGUACAUGACUGACACUGAGGAGCGAAAGCAUGGGGAGCGAACAGG